GACGGGGCCCGGCACAAGCGGUGGAGCAUGUGGUUAAUCGAAGCAACGCGAAGAACCUACCAGGCCUUGACAUGCAGAGAACUUUCCAGAGAUGGAUUGGUGCCUUCGGGAACUCUGACACAGGUGCUGCAUGGCUGUCGUCAGCUCGUGUCGUGAGAUGUUGGGUUAAGUCCGUAACGAGCGCAACCCUUGUCCUUAGUUACCAGCGCGUUAUGGUGGGCACUCUAAGGAGACUGCCGGUGACAAACCGGAGGAAGGUGGGGAUGACGUCAAGCCAUCAUGGCCCUUACGGCCUGGGCUACACACGUGCUACAAUGGUCGGUACAAAGGGUUGCCAAGCCGCGAGGUGGAGCUAAUCCCAUAAAACCGAUCGUAGUCCGGAUCGCAGUCUGCAACUCGACUGCGUGAAGUCGGAAUCGCUAGUAAUCGUGAAUCAGAAUGUCACGGUGAAUACGUUCCCGGGCCUU
rnacentral:rRNA from 1 species